AUUGAACGCUGGCGGCAGGCCUAACACAUGCAAGUCGAGCGAGAAAGCCCUUCGGGGUGAGUAGAGCGGCGGACGGGUGAGUAACGCGUAGGAAUCUACCUGGUAGCGGGGGACAACAUGUGGAAACGCAUGCUAAUACCGCAUACGCCCUACGGGGGAAAGCGUGGGACCUUCGGGCCACGCACUAUCAGAUGAGCCUGCGUAGGAUUAGCUAGUUGGUGGGGUAAAGGCCCACCAAGGCGACGAUCCUUAGCUGGUCUGAGAGGAUGAUCAGCCACACUGGAACUGAGACACGGUCCAGACUCCUACGGGAGGCAGCAGUGGGGAAUAUUGGACAAUGGGCGCAAGCCUGAUCCAGCCAUGCCGCGUGUGUGAAGAAGGCUCUAGGGUUGUAAAGCACUUUCAGCGGGGAGGAAAAGCUUAACGUUAAUAGCGUUGAGCCGUGACGUUACCCGCAGAAGAAGCACCGGCUAACUCCGUGCCAGCAGCCGCGGUAACACGGAGGGUGCAAGCGUUAAUCGGAAUUACUGGGCGUAAAGCGCGCGUAGGCGGCUUCGUCAGUUGGGUGUGAAAGCCCCGGGCUUAACCUGUGAAUUGCAUUCGAUACUGC
rnacentral:rRNA from 1 species